rnacentral:rRNA from 1 species
AUUGAACGCUGGCGGCAUGCCUUACACAUGCAAGUCGAACGGUAACAGGUCUUCGGAUGCUGACGAGUGGCGAACGGGUGAGUAAUACAUCGGAACGUGCCCGAUCGUGGGGGAUAACGAGGCGAAAGCUUUGCUAAUACCGCAUACGAUCUACGGAUGAAAGCGGGGGAUCUUCGGACCUCGCGCGGACGGAGCGGCCGAUGGCAGAUUAGGUAGUUGGUGGGAUAAAAGCUUACCAAGCCGACGAUCUGUAGCUGGUCUGAGAGGAUGAUCAGCCACACUGAGACUGAGACACGGCCCAGACUCCUACGGGAGGCAGCAGUGGGGAAUUUUGGACAAUGGGCGAAAGCCUGAUCCAGCCAUGCCGCGUGCAGGAUGAAGGCCUUCGGGUUGUAAACUGCUUUUGUACGGAACGAAAAGCCUCUUUCUAAUAAAGAGGGGUCAUGACGGUACCGUAAGAAUAAGCACCGGCUAACUACGUG